rnacentral:rRNA from 1 species
GAUGAACGCUAGCGGGAGGCUUAACACAUGCAAGUCGAGCGGGAUUGGUAGCAAUACCAUGAGAGCGGCGCACGGGUGCGUAACGCGUAUGCAACCUGCCUUAUACAAAGGGAUAGCCCAUGGAAACGUGGAUUAAUAUCUUAUAGGACAUUUGAAUCGCAUGGUUUAGAUGUUAAAACUACGGUGGUAUAAGAUGGGCAUGCGUCUGAUUAGGUAGUUGGUAGGGUAACGGCCUACCAAGCCGACGAUCAGUAGGGGUUCUGAGAGGAUUACCCCCCA